UUCCGGUUGAUCCUGCCGGACCUGACUGCUAUCGGAUUGAUACUAAGCCAUGCGAGUCUUUGCAGUAAUGCAAGGCAUACGGCUCAGUAACACGUAGUCAACUUACCCUAUGGACGAGGAUAAUCUCGGGAAACUGAGCAUAAUACUCGAUAGAUCAUAAUGCCUGGAAUGGUUUAUGGUUAAAAUGAUUCGUCGCCAUAGGAUGGGACUGCGGCCUAUCAGCUUGUUGGUGAGGUAAUGGCCCACCAAGGCGAUUACAGGUACGGGCUCUGAGAGGAGAAGCCCGGAGAUGGGUACUGAGACAAGGACCCAGGCCCUAUGGGGCGCAGCAGGCGAGAAAACUUUGCAAUGUGCGAAAGCACGACAAGGUUAAUCCGAGUGAUUUCUGCUAAAGAAAUCUUUUGCAAGUCAUAAAACCACUAGUGAAUAAGGGGUGGGCAAGUUCUGGUGUCAGCCGCCGCGGUAAAACCAGCACCUCAAGUGGUCAGGAGGAUUAUUGGGCCUAAAGCAUCCGUAGCCGGCUCUGUAAGUUUUCGGUUAAAUCCAUGUGCUCAACACAUGGGCUGCCGAAAAUACUGCAUAGCUAGGGAGUGGGAGAGGUAGACGGUACUCGGUAGGAAGGGGUAAAAUCCUUUGAUCUAUCGAUGACCACCUGUGGCGAAGGCGGUCUACCAGAACACGUUCGACGGUGAGGGAUGAAAGCUGGGGGAGCAAACCGGAUUAGAUACCCGGGUAGUCCCAGCUGUAAACGAUGCAGACUCGAUGAUGCAUUGGCAUAUAGCCAGUGCAGUGUCGCAGGGAAGCCGUUAAGUCUGCCGCCUGGGAAGUACGUACGCAAGUAUGAACUUAAAGGAAUUGGCGGGGGAGCACCACAAGGGGUGAAGCCUGCGGUUCAAUUGGAGUCAACGCCGGG
rnacentral:rRNA from 1 species